GAUGGUUAUGAACAGUGGCUGUACUUCCGGGACAUGUUUACAGCCGUUUACAUAAACCAUCCUAAAUUAUCACAAACGCAGAAAUUGUAUUACCCCAGAUACAAAACCAAAGGUCAAGCAGGCGUAAUAGUCAAACAGUUCGCUCUCAAUGACGAAAAUUUCAAUUUUGCUUGCGAAGCUCUAAAAUCACCAAACACUCUUGCAAGUUUAAGUUCGCGGAAUCCAACUAAGUUGCUGCCUAACGCUUUUCCCACGUUAACCACUGCUCCUGCAGAAGCUAAUGAACGGCAGAAAAGGAUGGAGUCUCGUUCCAAAAAAGAGAUGUUAACAACAAUGUUGAAGAAUACCGCCCCUGUUGAAGUAAUUCAAGAAGACAAGGUUGGACAGGGCACCUCAAACUGCAGGAGAGGAGGUCGUCGAUGAGAAAGACGAGAAAAUACUGCUUUUGGAAACAGAAAUGUUAGUCCUAAUUGAUAUUGAUGAAGUAUCUUUUUCUUACAUAAGUAUGUAUGGCUGAAUAGUGUUGUUAGAACUUUGAAUAAGUACAAAAACGAGCAGUCAGCAGAAAUUAAACGCCUUAGGAUUUCCAUUAAAACCUCGGAAUUCCACAGAAAUAAUUUGGAGCAAAAACUUAGCUACAUUUUCAUCAACGGCCAGGUAAUAGUUUUCAACAUGUGUCAGUUGAUAUAAAUUCCACUAACCCAAUUGAAAAUAAUGAUGGCUUGGAGAUUCUCAACAACAACGGACUUGAGAAUUUGGCAGGGUACAUCUGCCACAAACUCGGUAAAGACAACCUCGAAAUUUGUGGCAAUUCAGAAAAUUGUUCGUCUUAUACUUGGGUGGAUCACCUUUUGAAGGAGGACUCUCAAAACCAACA